GAUGCCAGGGUCAUAAACAAAACCCCACGCUGUGCUCGCACAAGCGUGGGGUUCUUGUUUCAUGACCCGCUCCGAUAUUCGCAUAAAAGGGAAGCGUCAGCUUCACGAUAUGCGAAUACCGGGCAGGAUUGUGAGAGUGCGCAGCACGGAGCAAUCCGUCAGG
rnacentral:sRNA from 1 species